AGUGGGUGCUGAAUGAGCCGUAUUGUGUCACAUUAGACACAACAACAAACCUCUCAUUGAACUGAUGUUUGCCAUGAUUAAUGCACCAGUGGUUUGCAGUGCUGCACGAACACGCACAUGCACACACACACACAGACACACACACACACACAAUGUAAACUCCUGCAGCACUUCAGAAGGAGAGGGAGAAUGCCUUCACACUGGUAUUCCUGAUCAGGUAACAGAAUGCCGGAGUGAGGGCUGCUGGCGUGAUUCUGCUAUUAGGCUGUGAAUCUGAUCUGAUGAGGCAGGGUUUUGGCUUGACACUGUGUGUAAAGGUCAGGUUACAGUCUGUGGGAUUCAGGUUUUCCCCACUGCAGGCAUGGAGUAGAGGGCAGGGUUACUGGAUUACCAGCAGUUUUACUGUCCCAGUCUCUCUCUCAGACACACACUCACACACACACUCAGCGCUGGGCUGGGGCAGGCUGUAAUGUGCAGUGUGGAAGAUGAUGAUGAUGAUGAUGAUGAUGAGCGUGUUUGGGCUGGUCCUGAGAGGCCGGGCUGUAGGGAGUCUCCUCCAGACGCUCUGAGAUCUCCGGCAGACUCUCCGCUCUGCUGGACAGAAGCUCUGCACUGAGACUGAGAUCAGCGCUUCAGUGUCAUCUCCAGCUCCUCAGACCCUGAAAAGGAUUUCUGGAGGCUUUUCAAAGGAAGAGAAUCAUCUGAGAGAUUAGUGAAGCAAUAUUGUGACAAUGACCUGCAGAGCUGUUUCAUUUUCAUUAUUUAAAAUCACGACUUCGUUGGAACUGAUUUGCAUUUCUGGUGGGUGAUUGUUAAGGAUUGUGUGAAGUUUCUGUGACUGAGACAGUAUAUGAUCUUUACCCCGGUCACCCCAUCUCUUCUAACAUUUAUAAAUGCCAACUGUGUCAUUUAGAAAUACCAACAUGCCGAACGCAGGGCUUAGGCAAAAUGUUGAAAUUACCAAAGCUCUUUACUCGGAGUAAAUCUCCCAGCUUUACUCCACAUUAAACUGCACAUCUGCAGAACUGACACUUUUUAUUUUAGCGAUUGAUCUUCAAAUCUCCUUAAGAGUUAGAAUGACUGUGAUUAGAGGAAAAAACGGGUUUCAAAAAAUAUAAUGGAGUCAUAAUAAUGGGGAAAUUAUGUAAAAUAUGUAUAAGAAUUUGGAUUUGACACUUUAAUUGCUGUUUAAAUACAUAACUUACAUUACACAGCUUACGUUCAACAAAGUAUCAGUUUAUAACUUUAUACCCAACUAUAACUAUAUGGUGACUCUAAAACCAUAUAGUUAUAGUUGCCACCAAAAAAAGUCACACUCGAAUAUUUGGUUGGAGCACCUUUAUCUUUGAUUGCGGCACAUAUUCGCUGUGGCAUUGUUUCAAUAAGCUUCUGCAAUGUCACAAGAUUUAUUUCAAUCCAGUGUUGCAUUAAUUCUUCACCAAUAUCUUUGAUUGAUGAUGGUAGAGAGUCUGACCGCUGCACAAAGCAGCGCUUCUCCAGCACAUCCCAAAGAUUCUCAAUGGGGUUAAGAUCUGGACUCUGUGGUGAACUCUCUCAAUCCUUGUGUGAAAAUGAUGAUCUCAUGCUCCCUGAUUCACUCUUUCACAAGUCCAGCCCCAUGAAUCCUGACAUGGUCAUCUUGGAAUAACCAAGAAAAAAAAUCUAUUGUUGGAAUAACCUGGGGCCUCAUGUACUAAAGGUGCGUACGCACAAAAACAUUGCGUACGCCAUAUUUCACGCUCACGGUCUGAUGUACUAAAUUUGACUUGAACGUGUGAAAGUGCGUUCCCCCACGGAAGUUUUGUUUUGGGCGUACGCCUUUUUUUUGUGCGUAUGUAUUGUGUUUUUGUCAUUUGGCGACACUUAGAGGCGAUGCAUUGAAAUUACAUCUAUUAAGAUAUCCUUUAUGCACACAUUGAAGUAAGCAUUAUUGGGUAAAAUAAAGUAAAUUAAUCAGACAGUUUCAUUGUCUUACAGAAAUAAUCGUUUAACGUGUUUCCACUUAGCCUAGAUCAGGUUUGCGCUGGAGUUGUUGGAGAUGCAGCGUUGGCAUUACUGGAAAAUACUGCUAAUGGCCGAAUACAUUGAGCGCGCAUUUUCCGUGACCAUUAUGUUUUUUUGGCCCAUGAUGAUGACUGGCUUAUAAGCAGUUUUAGAUUUCCAAGAGCAUAAGAAAACAAGCUGAGUGCGUGACGUGUGUCUUUUUGGUAGGCAACUCAUUUAAAGCAUUUAAAUGAAAGCAUUUAUCUUAGAAUAAUAAAACUUAAAACAUGGGUAAUUAUACGCUAUGCGUAUAUAAUAUUAUUAUUAUUAUUAUUAUUAAUAAUAAUAAUAAUAAUAAUAAUAAUAAUAAUAUUAUUAUUAAUAAUAAUAAUAAUAAUAAUAAUAAUAAUAAUAAUAAUAAUAUAACAUUAUACUCUGCGUAAUUGAGGGAGGAGUCGUGGCAAGUGUGCUGCUUUCGUGCAUUUGCGCUUGAUUUCAAGUUGAUUGUGAUGUACUAAGAGAAAGUACGUGGGAUUCUGCCUACGCACGGUUUGAUAAAUCCGGAUUUUUUUGUGCGUACGGAACUUUUCAGAUCUGAGCGUACGGAACAUUUUAGUAGGAAGUCCACGCAAGUCUUAGUACAUGAGGCCCCUGGUCUAUAUUCAGUAUAUUCAGGUAGUCAGCUGAUCUCAUUCUUUCAGCACAUACUGUUGCUGAAUCUAGACCUGCAGACCAACUGCAGCAUCAACCCCACAUCAUUUACUUACUUAAAUCCAGGUGGAGACUUUUUUUUUCAUCUCCUAAAAUCAAAACAUAAUUCAACUCUGAUUCAACUUUAAUAAAAUGAUUAAACCAUGAAUAAAUACUGAAAUGCCGUCUUGGCGUGUAUUGGUUUCUGAACCAUUCUCCACAUGCAGUUAUUGCAUUGCAAAAAUAUGAAAAAUAAAAACAUUAAAAGCUAAGGGUCACUUCUUAUCAUUUAAAGCAAUGCCCCAGGCUUUAAUAUUUAAUAUCAAUGUUGUUUUUUUAACGUUUUGAGAUUUUAAAGCUUAUUUUGGAGCUCUUUGAAGUUUUAAUGGCUUUCUCGCCUCGGCCGCGGCCCGCACACACCUACCCGCUGUGGAGGAGUAAUCUUAUUGGAGGAAAUUAGUUUCUCUCGCUCUUUAUUUCAGGCUCUUAUCUGUGUUGUAUUUUGAGGAGGAGAAACGCACAGCGAGUUCCUGGUUUGGGUGUAGUGGAUAAUUAGGGAAAUACCCAGAGUGAAGCCAAGCAUGGGAGAAACAGGACCUGUGGGUGGGGGUGGUGAAAGUGUGUGUGUGUGUGUGUGUGUGUGUCUGCACACGUUGAGCAUUAUUGUCAUGUUGUGGCUGUGAGGGUUCCUGGCAUUCUGAUUUGUGACCUGUAGAGUAAAAUCACAUUGCCAGGGAUUACCACACUGCCACGGCCCAGCCUACUGCACCAGUACACCAGUACAUCCCAGAGCUGGAGCCAAACUGGGAAACUGGCUGUUUCUGAGCGGGUGCAGAGCUUAGCUGAUUGGUGAACAGCUGUUGGUCUCUCCUUUGUUCACAGUGGCUAAGUUCUUCACCUGGAUAGAAAAUGAGAGAAGGUGCAGCUUCCUCUGCUGGUGGAUCCAUGUCUCAAGCUGUCCAUAACACUGUACUUUCUAACGUUUCUAUUGUUAUUUAUUUUAUUUUAUUUAUUUCCCAACAUUUAGUUCAGCAUGUGCCCCAGUGGAUUCAUUUCUAAGGGGACAUAUGAUGCAAAACUCACUGCCUCUAUAAACAAUUCAAGCCUGAAAAAAAUCCAUCCAUCCAUUUCUGUGAAUCAGCUGAAAAGAUUUGAGAGUGUCAGGAAUCAUUGGGAUGUCACAAUAAGGAAACACCUGCAAAGAACCACCCUGGUACCACCCCUCACCCAUCAAUCCCCACCAGAGCCCCACCAACUGGUUCAGUUGAAUUAUCCAUAAUUCCGGUAAUUUUGGUUGAGAACCUCAGACAAAACACAGCAGAAUUAGCCAGCAGACUUCUUCUGAGGGAGGAAUCUGUACCUACUGUCCGUGGAUAGUCAGCAGAACUAGCAAGCAUGAACUAGCUUGUUUGUGUUUUUCCAUUUAGCACAAGCUAACAUUAACGCAAUGUAAACAUUAAGCAUUAGCACUUUCUCACAUGGAUUGUUCACCACAGAGUGGUGAGAAACUUUGAGAAACUUUGGGAUGUGCUGGAGAAGCGCUGCUUUGUGCAACAGUCAGACUCUACCAUCAUCAAUGCUGCAAGAUCUUGGUGAAAAAUGAAUGCAACACAUUAAAUUUCACAAAAUUCUAAUCUGUGCCUUUUUAAAUUUGGCAAUGUGAACAUAAUUAGCCGAGGUACUCAGUGCAUCUAAUGUUACCAAAUGUUCCCAAGCUGUUUGUAAUUACACAUUUACACCACAGAGGGCUCCAAAUUCCAGCAUUUACUGCCACUGUAAAUCUACUGCUCUGAUCUCAUGAGGCAACAACAGCCUCAGUCUGGAAAGGAGAAAACAGAUGCAUCUAUUUCAUAACGCAAAGCUUGUGACAUCUGGCUGACAACAAAUGUUUGCCUCUUGAACAGAGGGACGUCUGCCAGCUGUAAACAGAUCCAUAUGUGAAAAUGUGCUGAAACGCACAGCACUGUUCUAUAUUUCCUAUUUUACUAUGUUUCAGUUUAAGUGGAUUCUCUAUUAAGCUUCAGGUUAAAUUGAGUUUGAGCUUAAGCAGUUUAUAGCUGUUAUUGCUAAAAAAAUGAAGAAAUAAAGUGGGUAUAGAUUAUGUGCUUUAUACAUAUUGAAUGAUGGGAUAUUGAAUAUUGAAUGUGUCUUUUAUGUGUUUGUUAUGAAAUAUUAAGAAAUGCAAUUACAACCCCAAAUUGGAAAAAGUUGUGACAGUAAGGAAAAGGCAAAAAAGAAAAAAACGUUUUUUUUUAAAUGUUUAUUUAAUUGCAGACAGUGUGAACUCAAUAUUUUUUUAUGUUUUGUCUACACACUAAGAAAAAUAAGUACAGAUUUGUGCUUAAAAAAAGUACAAAGCUUGCCGCUGGGCAAAGAGGACAGAGGACCUUUCAGUGAAAGGCUUUUUUUUUGUAGCCAUGUUUUUUUUUUUUUAACCAGUAAAUAUUCUAAAGCUUAUAAACAUUAUUAUCAACUAAAUAUGUGUCAAGAACUUAAUGAUCCCAAAUUGUCUGGCUUUCAAAUAAAAAAAAAUGAAUUACUAUACAUAUUGUUUAUUAGUACAGUGAUAAAGAAUAACAGAUGUCCAUUUUGGCUGGUUAAAUGGUACAAAUCUUUACAUCCACCUGUUAGGAAAGACUGUACUACAGAGGGAACAUAUCUGACCCUGUAAAGACCAAUAUUAUACCUUUAAGAGUACAAUUAUGAAAAGUUUACCUUUCACUACAAGAAAGUACUUUUAUCGUACCUCUGUUUUUUAGUGUAUACUCAACUUCAUUUCAUUUAUAGCAUAAUAUACACUGUUGGUCACUACUGGUUUUAGAACACCCACUUUUUCCCUUUAUUUUUACCAUUUAAGCUUUUCAUUUCCAGUCAAUAACUAGAACUGGUGCACAACCCAUUUUUUUAAGGUGCAUGUUGUAGCUAGCUGGUUAUGUUUGAUCAAUAAGCAUAUAUUCUGUAAUUCCUACAUAGACUGCGUUAUAAUAAUGAUAUUAUUUUAUUUAGCUAUAAAUAUACUUGUGAUUGUGUAUAAAAUGUGUUAUUGAUAUAAACACAGACGCUGUGCUGAGGUUCAGUGUUUGGACUGAUGGUCAGGACCUGGUCUCCUGUGCCUUCUGAGCUGAUAUCAGUUGUACUGAAACACUGGCUCAGUUCAGCAGGAACAGGAGCUCGGCCCCCAAAACCAGACUGACAGCUCUCAGCUCAGCAACAUACAGGAUCUGCACUGACCUACAGCAGUCUCAGAAUCAAACUGCUGAUAUAAUCUCUCUAUAUACUGAAUAUACUUUACUGUUCUGAUCUUGUAUGUUUGUUUAAUAAUAAAAAAAAAAACACUUGAAAGCUUUUUUACAUA